AAACGAGAUGUUCAGGAGUUCGGGACGUUGUCUAUCCAAAAUAUCCAAGUUACUGAGAAACCAGCGAUAAUAAGAGUGAAGGGAGAGCGUUGUGAAGGCAAACACACAUCAGGAGCCCGAGCACGGCCGUGAUGAAGCUGGAUCUGAGCUGCAGUGUUUGGGUCCUGGCCGUCGGUUUGCUGCCGUUGGUCCAAAUUACUGCCGGAUCCAUUUUGGGUGCAGCUGUUAAUAUCGAACUGCUUGAUCAGGACAGAUCCCAGCCGGUCAGGGCUCAUUACAGCGUGGUGUCCAGUUUGCCCUGUCCGUCCCUGGAUGAGCUGUGUAACGGAGGAGACUGUGUGGAUCAGCUCAGCUCCUCUCCUCUGACAGGGGCUUUACCUUCACCAGGCUGGUGUCUUCAUGAGUGGCAGAAAAACAUUCCUAAACACCACACGUCUGCUCUUCAGCUUGGGUGA
rnacentral:lncRNA from 1 species